GGAGAGGUGGCUAAGUGGUCUAAAGCGAACGACUCGAAAUCGUUUGACGUUAUAGCGUCCGUGGGUUCGAAUCCCACCCUCUCCG
rnacentral:tRNA from 2 species